rnacentral:rRNA from 1 species
UACAGAGGGUGCGAGCGUUGUUCGGAAUUAUUGGGCGUAAAGGGCGCGUAGGCGGCGCCACAAGUCACUUGUGAAAACUCUGGGCUCAACUCAGAGCCUGCAAGCGAAACUGUGGUGCUGGAGUAUGGGAGAGGUGCGUGGAAUUCCUGGUGUAGCGGUGGAAUGCGCAGAUAUCAGGAGGAACACCGGUGGCGAAGGCGGGUCUCUGGGCAGUAACUGACGCUGAGGAGCGAAAGCGUGGGGAGCGAACAGG